UGCCAGCCGCCGCGGUAAUACGAACUGUGCGAACGUUAUUCGGAAUCACUGGGCUUAAAGGGUGCGUAGGCGGUCAUUUAAGUCAGAUGUGAAAGUCCACGGCUCAACCGUGGAAGUGCAUUUGAAACUGGAUAGCUUGAGUAUUGGAGGGGGUAGUGGAAUUCCCGGUGUAGAGGUGAAAUUCGUAGAUAUCGGGAGGAAUACCGGCGGCGAAGGCGGCUAACUGGCUCGGUACUGACGCUGAGAUGCGAAAGCGUGGGGAGCAAACAGGAUUAGAUA
rnacentral:rRNA from 1 species